rnacentral:rRNA from 1 species
GUCUUCAGCCAUGCCACCCUGAACGUGCCUAACCUCAUCUGAUCUUGUAAGCUAAGCAGGGUUGGACCGGGUUAGUACUUGGAUGGGUGACUUUCUGGAAUACCAGGUGCUAUAAAUU